rnacentral:lncRNA from 1 species
AAUUUCUUGGGACGUCCAUGGAAGGCGUUAUCGACCAAUGUUGUAAUGGAGAGUGAAAUUGGUGGUUUUAUUAAUCCAGAAGGAUGGAAGAUAUGGGAUAACGAACAUUACGAGCAAACAUGUGAAUGUUAUGAAUAUGCUAAUAGAGGACCUGGCGCUGCUACUAAUGGACGGAACAAGGUUUUCAAGAAAUUUAAAGUACUUAGCCCACAGGAAGCAACUAAAUAUACUGCUGGUGCUGUUUGGCUUCAAGGAAACGAAUGGUUGCCAGCUACUGUUGCACCUUUUUACCUUGGUCUAGGUGGAAAAUAAAAACAAUAAAUUGUAUUCAUUAGAGCAAGGUGAUAUCUUGUUGAACUCAUGGGGACCAAGUCCACAUACAAGGAUUUUCUUAAUUAGCCGUUGUUCACAUCAUUAUGAAAUCUGCUACUACAAAUUUUGAAGGGUCUUUGGGAACAAUUUCAGUUUGCUCAUUUUAUUUUAUCGAAGUUAGUGGAUCUUCAUUCACAAUUGUCCAUAUAUAGUUCAUAAUUUUUUGCUAUCAGGAAAUCUUCUAUUCUUGCUUUCCACCAGCUGUUGAAUUUUCCAUUUAAAAGGGGGGUCAAGUAUUUGGCUAUUAUUCGUUAAUUACAAGUGGCACGCUCAUUUUGCUAUCAGGAUCUCAUUUGGUAUUAAACGGGUGUGAAAGAACCCGCUUUGAUACUAAUUAUUAGUUUGAGUUCCUUUAUGGAUUACUAAGAACUGUGUUCGUUUCCUUACUUCUUAAUCGUAAGCGUAUAUAAACAAUAAAGUAGACACAUCAAUAUUUACGUGAAAAAUCACCCGGCUCAAAAGAUGCAAAACCUAAAACCUACCACGUAGGAUUUUAGCUUCAACUUUACUAAAACAGUAAGCUAAAUGUAUCGAUUACAAAUCCGUAACUCAAUACUCUCUGGUUCUCCUACUUCAGAUAUUUGACUUACAAGUUACUCUACCUUGAAAAAUAAAAUGCCCAGUCCAACUCACUGAUUGUAUAUAACACUUUGAUUAUAACUCGAUUUUCUAAAAUACGUUUAUUAGACCGACUCAAGAAGAACACCAUAAUGGUACUGGACAUAGUAUAGAAAAAGCAAUUCUUCAGUUGCUAUGUAAAAGGAUGGUCUUAGAAGUUCAAAGCGAUAGUAUUUAAAUUCCAUAGACUCCGAGAUCUAUUAGGAGUCAUAUGCAUGGUUAGCUUCUCAUUUGAUGGACUCCUUCUGCUCCAAGGACUCAACAAUUAUUGGGACUCUUGUCUCUCGAUUAUGCAAACAUAUCUUCUUGGACAACACUUUUAUCAUGUUUUGCAGUUUUUUUCCAAUAAAAUCGGACUUGGGAUAAUGUUACAAUCUAGCAAGAUCAUCUAAUCAUCAACCUUGGGGAGCUGAUUUUUAGAGCAGUUAAGCAGCUACGUCGAGGACCUGGUUCUCAGAGCAUUUACUCUGAUCAAGCUUUGUUAAUCAUCAAACCUCAAUACUCAACAUACAUAGCCAAAAAAAGUCGUGAUUCACACAGUAAACUCUCUUGUCUUUAUGCUUAUAUAAGUGCCUGACUAAGUGCCCCAAGCAAGCCUAACACUCGAUAGCCAGUCAAUAAUUUUAAUAAUCAUAAUUAUUUUACUAGUAAAAUAGUAGAAUUGAAUUUAUAGCCUAAUUUAUAGAGAAGCGAAUCGAUUUGACCCUAACGAUAGCUAAAUAAAAUUAAAGGCAAGUCUUAGUGUUAAAAUCGAGAUUCAUAGCAGGUAGCUUGGUUCUGGGAGCAAGUCUUCUAAUCGAAGCAAUAAGAAUAACGUUAGAUAGAAAAUAAAGUAUUACUCCCUCCAUUCCAAUUUAUGUGAACCUAUUUGACUAGAUAUGGAGUUUAAGUUGAAAUGAAGACUUUUGGAAUUUAUGGUCCUAAACAAGUAAAAAAUGGACCAGAGUAUUUGUGUGGUUAUAUAAGCUUCCUAUUAAUGAUAGAAUUGGAAGUUUAAUCUAAUUUUUUCAAAAUUUAGAAAGGGGUCAUUCUUUUUGGAAUGCAUCAAAAAGGAAAUAAGUUCGCAUAAACUGGAACAUAGGGAGUAUUUAAUUUGGGAAAAUUGUGUAGCAUAAGUUCGUCCGAUUUUCCUGUGUUACAAUAAACUCAAAUUAUAAUUUCGUUGUAGUGCUAUUCAAGUGACCUCAUCAGAUUUCGAUUUCUCUGUCUUUAUUUAUGAUUAUCACUCACCGAGUUGGAGUAUUCAAUAUACUCCCUGCACCCCAUAUGCAGAUUCAGGCGCUGUUGAUCGUGUUUGAGAGGGUCUACAGCUCCGGACAGAUUUCAAAGUUCACGAGGUAGCUGCUCCGGUCACAGCCACAUGCUUCUCCCCUCUUUAUCUCAUUUAAUUUCACUUGUUAGUGAUUCUAUAAUAGCUUUGUAGACUCUUCAGACUUGUAGUAUACUGAUAGAUGCUCCUAACCGGUGACACCCCAGUAUCGGGUUUGUUGGUGUUAAUUAUGUAGAACUCACUGCUUAUUUUUGGAUUUUAUCGUGUUUAAGACUUAAAUGCUUAUUUCUUAAUUGGUUAAAAAUGAAUUGGAAAUGUGUCGGCUGACCUUGUCUUCACAAGAGGUGCCAUCACGAUCGUAUCCAGGUUUAGGGUCAUGACAAUAUCGGAUGCUUUUGAGAUGUUCCAUAGGCUCAAGCUGAACCAAAUGAUGAGUUUAAGGGCUUCUUCAAAUAGUUAGAGGAAGCUAGUUAUUAACUUUAUGAAGUCGCAAUACAUUAAAAUUAUCUAUUGCAGUUAUAUUACUAAUUGUUUAAUCAAAUAAUUCUAUUUCUCAAGCGGGCAUGUGUCGCAACCCAAAAUUCCACCACAUACUUCGUGAUGACACUUAGUCUCGAAGACUAGGUAAUCCGAUUACUAUAACAAUAAAUCCAGAUUUUUUUUGGUUGAAAAUGAUACCUUAAAGCUUAGUAUAAUAUAAGUACCAAAACAAAAGGAUAUAUAAUCCUAUGCGGCAAUUAUCAUAAUAACUUUCCAAUAUUGGUGAUACAGAAUCACAAACUCUAGCUGAAUACAUGGAAUCAUCUCAAGGAUCGAAAUACAAUACUGCUCAAAAGAUAAAUUGACAGUACAAAAUAUGGAAAGGACUCCAAGGGUCUGCGGUGACAAAACAUAUAUAACAUGAAUUCUCGCGGUCAACAAGCUAACUCUGCUCGAGUCUGAUAUCUCUAAUACCUGGCUCUACACAAAAUGUGCAGAAGUGCAGUUUGAUUACACCAUGACCGGUACCCAGUAAGUAUCAGGACUAACCUCGGUAGAGUAGUAACGAGGUACAAGUCAAGACUCUAACUAGACAAAAUAACAUGUGUUGUAUUGAAGUAUAAAGUUAAUAAUGAAAAGCAGGGAUGAGUAAAUGGAAACGAGAAUCAACAAGUGAUAUAAACAGUAAAGCAAUAUGAACAUCCUGAAGUAUUAUUGAAACCGGUUAAGAAAACACACAGAACAACCAAUUAAUCAAUCGUUCAACUCAAAUUCCGCAACAAAAUCACUUAGUGAUAUUUCAUCUUAUAGUUACAAGUCACGGGUCUCCACCCUUCAUCAUAUACUAACUACACCUUGUGCCCACACUUCAAAUCACAACCGCAUAGACAAGUCACGUACCACAAACACAAUCCGUGCGGCAUAGUCACAGGCUCACUAUCACAAUCUGCCUUGCAUGAUCACAUGUUCAGGAUCACAAUCCAGUGACGGUUAAGCUUUGGUCGUCAUAAAUCGACACAAGGAUAAAACCAUUCAUCAAAGUACCGAUAUGGAUACAAUUACAAGAACUUGAUAUUAAGUACUGGGGACUGUGAAUAGACAAUACGCAGUUGGGCAACAACUACAAAUGGAGACAAGGAAGUAGAGAGGACUGGGAGGGUAGGAGAUGGGUUUGGAAUAAAUACAACACCCCAAAUCAAAGCUUCAUAUGUUGGUUAUCUAUGCAGAUAAGGGUGUUAACUACAGAUGGACUGGCUCGGUUGGGUUGGUAGAUCAGAUAGAGCUGUUAGGGGGAGGAAUUAUACUAUUUCUCAUAUGUUGGUUAUCUAUGCAGAUAAGGGUGUUAACUACAGAUGGACUGGCUCGGUUGGGUUGGUAGAUCAGAUAGAGCUGUUAGGGGGAGUAAUGAAGAAUAUGAGGGAUAUAAUUGUAAAGUUUUGUGCUAGUGAUCAAUAAAACUCUUAUUUUAACCCCCCACCCCCCCAAAAAAGUGAAAACGAUUAAGAUGAAAUAUUUAUGUUUAACUUAAUUGAUCCUUAACAAUAUUUCUCAUAUAAGAAGGUAAACUAUUACUCUGUUAAUGCCAGGGUAAUUAUCUCCUUCUCCCCUUUAAUUUAAUGUUUCUCCUUAUUCUAUUAAAAUUAUAAUCAAUACAUACCUAUUCUCUAAUUAUUUUCCUUGCUCCCUCUAAUAAGAGUUAUUCAUCUUUUAACUUAAAAGUCUCAGGUUCGAGCGCUGAGAAUGAAUUAUUUUAUGUAAAAACUGCUUUAUAUUUUAAUAAACCUUAAACGAGGCAUGUCUGGGAUAGUCGAGCAGCACAGCGGGUAUUUGGAUAGGGGGCAAAAAACAAAAAUCAGAACCUACACGAAGACCAUCUCACCAUAAGAUUAAUUUAAUAAGAGCCUAUCCAAAUGAAAAAUAAAGUUACCAUGACUUUUGAAGUAUUUCAUAGUUAAGUAAACAAUCAAAUUGUAGAACCAUUAAAUUUUACAUGUAAGUAAACUAACUUCAAACAACAUACACGUUCAUUCUUGGCCACUACAACAUUAGAGGUAUAUCUUAAGUUAUGCCUCAAACAUCUCUACCUCAAUCGUCAACUUGACCCCCUCUCUCUCCUUAGCACUAUAAAAACCUCGCUAUAACAAGUUAAUUCAUUCAUCUAUCUCCUCUCUUUGGUUUCAAUGUUAUAUUUAUAAAUACCAAGGAGAGGAUUAAGCUUGUUAUAUUUCACUAUCAUCUUUAGCUUUCCUUUUUCCUAUAAGAAAUAUAUCGGAAAAAGGGCCAAAAAAAAAAGAAACUUGAAAUUACCAAAAAAAAAAAAAGCGAAGAUGGUAGGGAAAAUUGUGGUUUCAUUGGUAUCUUUGAUUCUUUUAGUGGGUGUAAUUGUAGGAGUUGUAGUUGUUGUACACAAAAAUGGAGAUAACGAUGAUGAUAAAAGCACCCAAGUUCAAAUGAAAAAAGUUGACGAAUUUUGUCAACCUACAUCAUUUAAAGAUGCAUGUGUACAAAGUCUCGACAAAGUUGCAUCAAACGAUUCUGCUACAAUUAAAGACUAUAUUAUGGCUGCUUUUGAAUAUACUAUACAAGAGAUAAAGAAAUCAUUACAUGAAACUGGAAAAACUAAUGUUAAUAAGGAAAGUGAUCCUUAUAAUCACAUGGCAGUAGAAGAUUGCAAAAUACUAUUGGAAGAUGCAAUUGAAGAUCUCGAAUCCACGCUUAAAGUGGUUAACGAGAACGAAAUGAAGUCCCUGAAUGAUAAAGUCUACGAUAUUCUGACUUAUGUCAGUGCUGUUUACUCUUAUCAGAGCGAGUGUAUAGAUUCCAUUGACAAGCCUGAGUACAAAUCUGCCAUCCAAAAAUAUCUUGUCAACUCCACGCAGUUGGCCAACAAUGCCAUUGACAUUGUAGCAAAGAUUUCAUCCGCUCUCCAAUCCGUGGAUUUUCAAAUUUCUGACGGUCUUUUAAACCGAAAACUUCUUGAAGCAAAUUACCAAAUUGGUCAUGACAAUUAUCCUACGUGGUUUCCUGUUUCUGAUCGUAAGCUUUUGGCUAACACCCCGACUCCUCAUGCAAUAGUUGCAAAAGAUGGAAGUGGAAAAUUUAAAACAGUUUCUGAUGCUCUUAAAGCAUACCCUCAAAACCAUCAAGGCAAAUACAUAGUAUAUGUCAAGGCUGGUGUUUACAACGAACAAGUCCUUGUCGAUAAGACACAACCGAACGUGUUUAUCUUUGGAGAUGGCGCGGGGAAAACAAUCAUAACUUCAGACAAUAAUGUUGGAAUCAUGAAAUUCACUACCAUGAAUUCUGCAACAUUCGGUAAGUAUACUAUCUCGCUUCAAUCUAUAUGACGUAUUUGAUUGUGCAUGAUUUUUUUUAAAAUUUGUGUUUCGUAAACAUCACAUACACUUAUGUGUCUAUAAAUGCAUAUCGUAUAAGCUUAAGUUGUUCUCAAAUACAGAAGAAAACCAUAUUCUUUUUUUAACCGACAAAUAAAAAUAGUACGUGACACGAAAAAAUGGAACAGAGGAAAUACUACAGUAUUGGAAACCAUCCAUGCAUGGAUACAAUUAUGUAUAUGGAAUACGUCAUAUUACACCGGAGGAUGCAAAUGGUUUUAACACCAUUAGUGUUGUUUAACCUAUUAUAUCGCGUUAAUUAGUUUAGUACUUUUCCUUAUUAUUGCAUGUACCUUAUAAGUGAUUUGAUAGUAUAAAUAUCUUUUGCAGGUGUUAAUGCACCAGGGUUUGUUGCCAAAGGAAUUACAUUCCGAAACACAGCUGGUCCAAAAGGACAACAAGCCGUGGCACUCAGAAUACAAGGUGAUCAAUCUGCAGUUUUCGACUGCAACAUUGAAGGCUAUCAAGACACCUUAUACUAUCAAACCCAACGUCAAUUCUAUCGCAAUUGUGUCAUAUCAGGCACGAUCGAUUUUAUUUUUGGCAGGGGCACAGCUGUAAUCCAAGAUUCCACCAUCAUUUUGAGAAAACCAGGGGAUGACCAAAAAUGGAACACAAUCACAGCAGAUGGUAGAGAAGUGCAGUCACAAUUAACAGGAGUAGCGUUACAAAAUUGCAAAAUCGUCGCAGAAAAGGAACUCAUCGAUACUAAAAUCGUCCAGAAUUUCUUGGGACGUCCAUGGAAGGCGUUAUCGACCAAUGUUGUAAUGGAGAGUGAAAUUGGUGGUUUUAUUAAUCCAGAAGGAUGGAAGAUAUGGGAUAACGAACAUUACGAGCAAACAUGUGAAUGUUAUGAAUAUGCUAAUAGAGGACCUGGCGCUGCUACUAAUGGACGGAACAAGGUUUUCAAGAAAUUUAAAGUACUUAGCCCACAGGAAGCAACUAAAUAUACUGCUGGUGCUGUUUGGCUUCAAGGAAACGAAUGGUUGCCAGCUACUGUUGCACCUUUUUACCUUGGUCUAGGUGGAAAAUAAAAACAAUAAAUUGUAUUCAUUAGAGCAAGGUGAUAUCUUGUUGAACUCAUGGGGACCAAGUCCACAUACAAGGAUUUUCUUAAUUAGCCGUUGUUCACAUCAUUAUGAAAUCUGCUACUACAAAUUUUGAAGGGUCUUUGGGAACAAUUUCAGUUUGCUCAUUUUAUUUUAUCGAAGUUAGUGGAUCUUCAUUCACAAUUGUCCAUAUAUAGUUCAUAAUUUUUUGCUAUCAGGAAAUCUUCUAUUCUUGCUUUCCACCAGCUGUUGAAUUUUCCAUUUAAA